AAUUCUUUAAUCACACUAAAAAGAUUAUCGAGACCAAGUCUUCGAUUGUUCUCAGCUCCACCAACUCCGUCGGAUUUGUUUCUCGCUCCGACAAUUUACCCCCGAUUUCAAAUCUUCUGUUUCCGUCAAACCCCUCUCAAAGCCCAUCCCUUUUCUUCAAAUGUUACGCUCCACGGCUGGAACAUAAGCUAAGCAGCUAGCCAAUUGUCG
rnacentral:misc_RNA from 1 species